CUGCCUUGGUCGCAACAGGGGGAGUCGGCAGAGAAGAGAACAGAGAAGGCGGUUCCUGAUCUCGGGAGAUCGCCACGUUAUGCCUACUUAGCCUUCGCCUGCUCCAAUGCCCUCUCCCCUUCCUGUCUCCCGGAAGAGUACGCGUUGCCUGGUCGGCACGGGAUCUCGGAUCCCGGUGAUGAGGGCAUACGCUUCUUGGAUUGACUCGGCUCUGCCUGCACAUCGGUUUGGCAGGAGGAAGCCCAGGGAAGAUGGAACACCUUACUCAGGCCAGGUACCUCUACUUAUGGAAAUUCAAAUGGAGAACACUAAAUCCUUUAAUGAAACUGGCUAGUAGUUUGAGGAACCAUUUCAGGUUGCAUCUUGGGUUUUGCUUAUACGAGCAUCCCCUUGUCGGAGAGUAUGCUCUAUCUGAGACAAAUGGAUCUUCUCCCUUAUGGUCUAUGGUGACUCAGAUAUGGUUAAAUAGGGAACCCUUAUUUAAAUUCAAGAAAAAAGGACAAGGAUGGCAUCAUCUUGACGUCCACAGUUGCAAAAACACAGUUGGACUCGAAACAGUUAAGACAAUGGGUAGUGAAUAUGGGAUACAUAAUGCUGAUGUUUCUCACCCGUAUGAUGCGUAGCUGCAGGUGAUCUCAUAUAUGCUAUUAAGGGAAGCAGAGUCUCUUUGUCAUGUAUCUAUGUAGAGAACAAGAUGAGAACAGAUAACACUCGAGGAACCAAAAGUCCUAUAUAAUCUUCCUCGCCACCGUUCCAGUCAGGUAGCGACAACUGCUUUACUGAUGGGAGAGGUACCAAUGUGAAUGAUUUAAGCUCCACCCACCAGCCUUCAUCCGCUAAUCAAGCUGAGUGCAUUCAACCUCUUUGAGAGCGUUUUGCGAUGGAUCUUUUUCAAACCUGGAUGUAAUUGCAGAACCGGUUAUUGCUUUGUGGAUGGGCAUGACACUAUAAUCACUCGAGGAAGCAGUACACAUCAGGCCUCCACCCCACUCCAAGCGGAAUGCUGAGCCAUUUGGUACGCUCCCACCAAAGCUUCACAAAUGACUUACCGUAAUAUCAUUGUCAAAUCUGACUCUUUAGAGACUCUGCUGAUUUGUAAUAAAGUUGGUCGACAUGUAUUUGUUGUCAACUCCAAUCAGAUACAAGACAAGGAACAUAUGGGCCGGGAGCCUCCUUUUUUCAUAAGAUGAAGGUGACAUUUCUGACAUUUUCUCCAUAUAAAUCCAACCAGAGAAAGUUCCUCGACGAACAAAGCUGCCUAAGAGUUAGCUCCGUGUAUGAUGUACGAUUUUUUCGAGUACAUUUAAAUAAUUAUGUUAUUGGGUCGAGUUUUUUUGAAAAAAAGAAAAAGAAAAAAAGGGGAACAGGAAUAAAAAAACAUAAAUAUAAAGAAAUUAAAGAUGAGGGGGGAGAGAGAGAGGGAGGAGAGAUUAGAA